rnacentral:lncRNA from 12 species
GAAGAAGAAGAAGAAUAUCCUGAGUCAGUGGGGAAAGGGAUGUUGGCUGCAAAGUAAAGUCAUUUAAAACCCACCCAGAUGCCUCCAGGUGAAAAGCGCAGCUAGCGUCAGCACUAGAGAGGUUCACGGAGGGUCUCCGUCACUGCUGCUUGCUCGGUGUGCCCCGGUGGACAGAUGUGGAUGGGGAGAGGGGAACGGAUGAGGUGGGAGAUAACAAGUGUACAAUAAGAGCCUGCGAGUGAGACCACAUUAAGAAGGCAACACAAACAAGAAGAAAUCUCAAGGAUAAAGAGG